rnacentral:lncRNA from 1 species
UCAACAGUCACUAGAAGGAACUGAAGAGACGAAUUUGGGAGUAUGCACUGGACUGAAAUAAAGGAUUCUUCCGGUUUCUCCAAUGUACCCAUGAUGGCAGAUGUGACAUGUGAGUAUUCCUUGCUGGUUUCUAGAACCUGAAAUGGGCAACAAAACUAUUUAAUUUAUUUAUAGAAAUACCAUCCUUUUAUAUAACACGCAAGAAAUAAGAUUAGCAGCAGUGAAGUAUGGAUGAAAAAGAAUUUGAUUCAAAAUAAGAAACAGUUUACUUAAAUAUUCGCUACUUGCUACGUCUGUAUGCCGCUAGGGGAAGAUAAUUUUUUUUCUCAAAAGAUAAUACAAUCAUUGUAGAUAUUUUUAAAUGCUUUUGCACUACAUAAUUUUGCUCUUCUUAGAAUAAAGAGUACUAUUUCACAAUGUGUUGUGAUUGACAAUAAAUACAAAAUUGGGGUGCAGGUAGAUGUUUGAGACACCAUUCUAGUAAAUAGGGUAACAACGAUUUAUAAAUCCAUUACAGGAAUUGUUUAGCAUCUCUUCUCGGCCUUUUGGCUAAGAUCAAAGUGUAGUAUCUGUUCGAGUGGACUCGCACCAGUCUUCAAUCCAGUGAUCAGUGUUGCGUUUUGUGAGUAUUGUUUUCUUUGUCUACGUUUUCAGUUUCUCUAAAGUUUUGAUUUAUUGUGAUUCUUUGGGUUGGUUGGAAUGAGUUCCACCAACCACCUGACCCGACCUCGGUCGGUCAGAUUUAUCGUCGAGAAAGACACAUUACCUUCCCAGGUGAUUGACUAUCUAUGAGAGCCUGGGUGUUAAUGUCAUGGAUUGUCUCCAGCACUUCGGUGCUGGCCGAUACAUUGCCACAUUAUCCACUCUGGCUGUGGUAAACGAGCUGUUGGGUCGAGGAGCUUUCUCGGUAAACAGUGCCUCCGUCUCAGUGAGUCCUGCAGGCCAAAACCUGAAAUGGAUGACCCUGCAUUCUGCCCCUUAUGAAAUGUCACACGAAGUGAUUAGUGCUGCUCCAUGACCAUAUGGACGAGUUAUCAAAAUAGAAUACGAGUGUUAUCCAUCACGUCCUGGAGUCUGCACCGGUAACAGGAGAAUCCGUAUGGAUAUGACAUCUCCGGUUCCCAAUUUUUUCAAAAUUGGGAAUUACACAGUCAUGGUCAACUACCUGGGCUUGCAACGCUUGUGCCGUCGUUGUGGUCUCGAAGGUCACCUUGCCAACCAUUGUGACACCCCGAGGUGCUCGCGUUGUUUGGCAUAUGGCCAUGAGGAGGCCCAGUGUACCGUUUCAUGUGAUUUGUGUCAGGGGGCUCACAGUUCUUCUUUGUGUCCCUCCCGUGCUCCAACAUAUGCUAGCAAAGUUUCCGGAGCUGACACGAAAUGUGCCAUGUCUCCCUCUUCACCAUCGCCUGUACCGCCUCAACCCAUUCCAACUACCAUUGUGUGUCCUGUUCCUAUGGGGCAGCAGGACCAGUCACCCUCCUCAAGUCCUGUGGGUAAUGCCGUUUCUCCAACUGAAGAUGCCUAACCAAUGUCAGAUGCCGCUAAAUGUCCUUCCAGUCCUGUGGAGGAUGACUCAUCUGCAGUCCCCUCACCUUCCGUCUCGUCCAGCCCUGAUGUCUCUGAGUGAACUGAAGAUUCCUCGUCUCAUUCUCCAGUAGCUGUUUCUACUUCCUCCCUUGUGAUCCGGAAACGUCAUAUCCCUGUAACAGUGCCUCCUCUCCAUCCCGAACUUUGUGCAGCAUCCUGGUCUUCCCUUGUGGUUGCCAAGUCAUCUUCAGUUUCCCAGAUGGACUGUAUCGACGCAGCUACACUCAAACGUGCUUUAACUCUCUCAUUGCUGGAUGAGGGGAUGAAGCAGCAGUGUCUGUAGUUCUUCCUUACCAUUGGCAGUGGGAGGAUUGAGCUUCUGUUUUUUGCUAUAUUGUAUUACUCUGUACAUUUUGUGUCAUAAUUUGUGAACUUAUCAUUUCUCUGUACACAAUUGCUGUAAAUUUCGUUAUUGUUCUUUUGUACUGUUAUUUGUUGCAAUAAAUCUCAAAUUAAUAGUA